rnacentral:rRNA from 1 species
CGUAGGGUGCAAGCGUUAAUCGGAAUUACUGGGCGUAAAGCGUGCGCAGGCGGUGAUGUAAGACAGUUGUGAAAUCCCCGGGCUCAACCUGGGAACUGCAUUUGUGACUGCAAGGCUAGAGUACGGUAGAGGGGGAUGGAAUUCCGCGUGUAGCAGUGAAAUGCGUAGAUAUGCGGAGGAACACCGAUGACGAAGGCAAUCCCCUGGACCUGUACUGACGCUGAGGCGCGAAAGCGUGGGGAGCAAACAGG